GACAGAGGGGGCAAGCGUUGCUCGGAAUCACUGGGCGUAAAGGGCGCGUAGGCGGGAUGGCAAGUCGGUCGUGAAAUCCCUCGGCUCAACCGAAGAACGUCGGCCGAUACUGCCGUUCUUGAGGGAUGCAGAGGAGAUUGGAAUUCCCGGUGUAGCGGUGAAAUGUGUAGAGAUCGGGAGGAACACCGGUGGCGAAGGCGGGUCUCUGGGCAUCUCCUGACGCUGAGGCGCGAAAGCGUGGGGAGCAAACAGG
rnacentral:rRNA from 1 species